UGGGGAAUUUUGGACAAUGGGCGAAAGCCUGAUCCAGCAAUGCCGCGUGUGUGAAGAAGGCCUUCGGGUUGUAAAGCACUUUUGUCCGGAAAGAAAUCCUUGGCUCUAAUACAGUCGGGGGAUGACGGUACCGGAAGAAUAAGCACCGGCUAACUACGUGCCAGCAGCCGCGGUAAUACGUAGGGUGCAAGCGUUAAUCGGAAUUACUGGGCGUAAAGCGUGCGCAGGCGGUUUGCUAAGACCGAUGUGAAAUCCCCGGGCUCAACCUGGGAACUGCAUUGGUGACUGGCAGGCUAGAGUAUGGCAGAGGGGGGUAGAAUUCCACGUGUAGCAGUGAAAUGCGUAGAGAUGUGGAGGAAUACCGAUGGCGAAGGCAGCCCCCUGGGCCAAUACUGACGCUCAUGCACGAAAGCGUGGGGAGCAAACAGGAUUAGAUACCCUGGUAGUCCACGCCCUAAACGAUGUCAACUAGUUGUUGGGGAUUCAUUUUCCUUAGUAACGUAGCUAACGCGUGAAGUUGACCGCCUGGGGAGUACGGUCGCAAGAUUAAAACUUAAAGGAAUUGACGGGGUCAUAGCUG
rnacentral:rRNA from 1 species